AGUAUAUGCCAAAAGCCAUCAUCAACCAACAAGAACCAACGUGCUACCCACAGUAUAUCAUUUACUGUACAAAGUAAUAUAUAGAGAAAUUAUUUAUGUCCGACAUACACAAUUUCUAGUUUUAUUAACCACCCUCCUUAUUCGCAAGUCAUAUCAACUCUAUCUGUUCUAAUAGCUACUAGGUGUUUUUAACCUGAAUUGCUGUGGUAUUUGUGUGAGGAGGUCAUCUUCAUAUCAAUGAGCAAGAUCAAUGAGGCAAAUAAGCCUACAGCUCAGCUGCAAACACUCUCCACAGGGUGCUCCACAUUUGAAAGUAAGAUCCUGAGCAAGUGGGAGUUGUAAUCAUGUGUAAUGUUUCCCUUGAAAGCCAGUAUAACACAGAUCAGCAUAUACAGUACAUGUGUCCCCAUAUGGCAUCUUCGACAGCUGUCCAGAGUCCCUGAAUGGCAUUUUUAUUUUCGGAAUUAUGGAAAUAUUGAUGACAAUAUGUGUGUGUCAAUACUCUCCAGUGCUGUGUGACAACGUAACUAGUAUGAAUGGCUUUUGGCGUGUAUUGUAUCUUGUCUCACUCUCGGUCUCUGUGCGGGGGCAUAGAGUGUGUCUGGCACUCACAUGGUCCAAUUGUGUUUAGGACUCAGAAGGUAUAAAUAAGGUCAUUGACUUAAACAGGGUAACACUUCAGGCAAGUAUGGUAAUUGAAUCAUGCACCUGUGUCAUUUUAUCUAAUUGGUUGCAGGAGUUGCUUAAUUGGACUUUAUUUACAAAUCAUUAUCGGAAAGUAUUCCUUGCCCAAUGGGAAGAUCUACUUGGCAGUGAUUUUUGACCUGACCUGAACCAAUUAUGCUUCUCUUGUCAUCCGAGUUAUUAUCUUGAAACAGCCACGAGUACCUUUAGAAAAGAUGUGCACCGCAGACAUGUGUUAUCUUCACUUGUUUGACCUAUUCCAUCAGUAGAGGCCUUAGAGGCAUUUUGUUCCUCCCAGGAUAUGUACAUAUCUACUAAAUGAAGCAAAGGACAAAAUUGGAUGAGUAAAUAAAUUAACAGCAACAAUCUAUACAGACAGUGAGAUGCAUUUCUAACUCGGAUAGUGUUUUUUUGGUAAAGCCAUGGGAUCCAUUACUAGCACUGUCAUCAAAUGACAAAAGUCUACAAGGUGGACAAUGUAACAGUGCUUCCAUGAAAUUUCAAGCGCCUAGAGUAUGUAUAAUCAUCAAAUAUACAUGAAAUUGUGAUUAAAUACCAAAACCCUGUCAAUAAUCUGACCUGUCUUUGGUUAUUAAUUAUGGUCAAUGGAGACAAGAAAACUACUUUAAAACAUAAAUUCACCCACUGCAUUGCUUAAAAUAUUGUCAUUCUUCAUUUCAUACCACACAGCUGUCUCUAUAGCCUAUAUACGAAUAUGAAACAUUAAUGGCACUGCCAUUAAUAACAUUGACAGAACCUGUGUAUUGGCCCCUUUCACCAGUGCAGCAAUGCAAUACAGUACUGCAAUACCAGGGCUCUACAGUGCGAGUAUUUCACUCGCAUUUGCGCCUAAAAAUAGGUAUGUGCGAACUUGA
ensembl:lncRNA